rnacentral:rRNA from 1 species
GAUGAACGCUGGCGGCGUGCCUAAUACAUGCAAGUCGAGCGAACGGACGAGAAGCUUGCUUCUCUGAUGUUAGCGGCGGACGGGUGAGUAACACGUGGAUAACCUACCUAUAAGACUGGGAUAACUUCGGGAAACCGGAGCUAAUACCGGAUAAUAUUUUGAACCGCAUGGUUCAAAAGUGAAAGACGGUCUUGCUGUCACUUAUAGAUGGAUCCGCGCUGCAUUAGCUAGUUGGUAAGGUAACGGCUUACCAAGGCAACGAUGCAUAGCCGACCUGAGAGGGUGAUCGGCCACACUGGAGCUGAGACACGGUCCAGGCUCCGACGGGAGGCAGCAGUAGGGAAGCUUCCGCAAUGGGCGAAAGCCUGACGGAGCAACGCCGCGUGAGUGAUGAAAGUCUUCGGAUCGUAAAACUCUGUUAUUAGGGAAAAACAUAUGUGUAAGUAACUGUGCACAUCUUGACGGUACCUAAUCAGAAAGCCACGGCUAACUACGU